CGCUGGCGGCGUGCCUAAUACAUGCAAGUCGAACGCUUCUUUCCUCCCGAGUGCUUGCACUCAAUUGGAAAGAGGAGUGGCGGACGGGUGAGUAACACGUGGGUAACCUACCCAUCAGAGGGGGAUAACACUUGGAAACAGGUGCUAAUACCGCAUAACAGUUUAUGCCGCAUGGCAUAAGAGUGAAAGGCGCUUUCGGGUGUCGCUGAUGGAUGGACCCGCGGUGCAUUAGCUAGUUGGUGAGGUAACGGCUCACCAAGGCCACGAUGCAUAGCCGACCUGAGAGGGUG
rnacentral:rRNA from 1 species